UUCUUCCGGCCGCUCUGACCCCGGGGCUGCGGCUCCGAGAUAGCUCAGGGCCUGGAAGUGCAUGCUGGGACCAACUACAUAAUCCUUGGUAAGAAAAGGAGGUGGCCCUGACAAGUGCAACUCGAGAAAUGCAAUGCUGUAGAGUCCAAAGGUGUCUGACUUGAACGAAAUGAUCCCACUGGGGGACAAUGCAACAUAUACUCCAGGGUCAGGUUUUGUCAUGAUGCAGCAAGGAGAUCUGUUCCUAACUUGGACUUGGUUGUCUAACCCUCAUCUCUUCUCUUUAUUACAAGGUGAACUGGAACUUACACCUUGCUUCUCCUGUUCUCAGGAUACUUGGACUGGAACUAUACCACCAGCUGUCUCGGAUCUCUGGCUUGCAGAUGGCACAUCAUGGGACUUCUCAGUCUCCAUCACUGCAUGAGCCAAUUCCUUAUAAUAAAUCUCUGUCUCUCUCAUUAUACAUAUCUUGGAGAACCCUCAGGAACCUUGACUAAUACACAAGAUAAAUUCAGUUUUAAUUGUA
rnacentral:antisense_RNA from 1 species